UACGGGGGGGGUAAGCGUUAUCCGGAAUUAUUGGGCGUAAAGAGCUCGUAGGCGGUUUGUCGCGUCUAUCAUGAAAGUCCGAGGCUCAACCUCGGAUCUGCGGUGGGUACGGGCAGACUAGAGUGAUGUAGGGGAGACUGGAAUUCCUGGUGUAGCGGUGAAAUGCGCAGAUAUCAGGAGGAACACCGAUGGCGAAGGCAGGUCUCUGGGCAUUAACUGACGCUGAGGAGCGAAAGCAUGGGGAGCGAACAGG
rnacentral:rRNA from 1 species